GACAGUGUGGCAUAGUGGUAAGGAGCAGUGCUCAUAACCGAAAGGUUUAGGGUUCGAUUCCCUGCUUGGGCA